UUAAAAAUAAAUAAACCCAAAUUCAUUCCAUUAUCUUUUCCCUCAAAAGAAAGUAUCCAGAGAAACCAAUCACACUUUGAAGACUGCGUUUGCACAGAGUUCACUCAGUUUCCUCAAAUCUAAGCAAUGCUUCCUACUCCCUUCCCCGGAAACGGAAAGAGCAAAAGCAAAGCCCAGAACCCAGAGCUUGGGGAUUCCUUUUCCUCAGUUUUCUUGUGGGCGAGGCCAUCAGACCGACGUUGACUGGUGAGCAGAACCGUCGCUCUCAGCCGAGUCCACGUGCUAUUGGAUACACGGGGCUCCGCCUCCUGAGCAGGGCGGGAGAUUUGGUGUGCCGCAGGGAAGCUUCCCAUCCCCCCUUCUGGCUCCCGGAGCUCUCCUGGUCGACCUUGCGACCCUGCGGUUCUGCUCCUGCACUGCCUACAAGAAUUUGGCAUUCUUGCUAGGGCUGAAGCCUUCUUCCCAGCGGCGACCAUUCAGCCGGGUAGCGUCCGGCUGGCACGAGGCGGCCGCAGCCGCUCCUGGUGGAGGACCUGGCGGUUCGUGGUGGGGCGGCGGGACAGCCUGCCUCCCUCUCCUGCUUUGCCCGGGGCUUCUGAGGUUAGCAAUGACGAGCACGCU
rnacentral:lncRNA from 1 species